UGUAAGAUGGCUGAGAUUGAGGCGGAAGAUUGUAGCUCUUUUUACGGAGGAUAGGCCUUCUCUUAUAA
rnacentral:tRNA from 1 species